rnacentral:lncRNA from 1 species
CAACAUGGGCUUCCCACUGAAAGCUUUAGGGCUACAGCACUGCCAAUCCCAAGCUCUGUGGCUCUGAGAGUGCAGUCAAUCUUCACUUCUUAAAGAUGGCUAUGAGGACAGACUCCCCCGUCCUAGGUUAAGCCUGGGGUCUGCUCUGGGAGCUCUGGAUAGACCAGUGACAGGAGGAUUACUACUGGAUUCCUGACCUCAAGGAAUUGUUCCAUCUCACAAAGGCACGGGCUACCUCUGAGAGAGCACCUAAAUACACGACCAGCCCAGAAUGAUAAGCUGCAGCUGAGACAGGUGCAUUUGGGUGCUGCAGAAACAUGCCCACCCCCGGGAGCUCUUCAAACUCUUCAGCCAUCUCAAAGAUGGCUGAGCAAUGUUCCUGAUACUUGGUCGAGACUCGGAAUGGCAGGAAAGACUGGAAAACUGUCUCAAGUACAGGCGGUGAGGUACACACAGCCACGGCCUGGGAAGAGGGAUGGAAUCCUGGGUUGGAUUAUGGGGUCAAUGUUGCCCAGUCCCCUAGAUUCCUAACAUCGCACUGGUUUUGAAAGCUGUGCUCAAGCUGGGGCAAUCAAGGAUGACAGGACUCCCAGUGAGUGCUCUUUCCAAUGUUCUAAGAGGCAGGUAAUUCCCAAACAAUUCCAUCUCAGGCCAACCUCUGUGUUUUCCUAAAUCCCAGUGCAUAUCCUUUUAUACUCUAACUCUUAGAGACAGCUGAUUGUUUUUAUUUUAAAUUUCUUACUACACAGUUGUCCGACCUCCAAGGAGGCUCCAAAGCAGCCACCCUUCUUCCCACCAUCAUUGUGACCAUGCUUCCCGGCGCUCUGCACUUCCCAACUCUGUCUCCUGCCAUGUGUCUGUCCGUCCACCACGUCUGCCCUCCACGCCACCUCCUAACAGCAUAGCUUCUAGUCUUUCCUCUGUUCUUUGGGCAGCCACUGAGAUUUACAGCUCGGUUGCCCUAGGAUGUCUUAGAAAUAUCUUCACAUAUCUUUUGAGUCCAUUCUCCAAUUCCUUUAUUAAUGAGACUAACCCCAAGAGAUGGCUCCGAUUUCCUCAGUAUCAUCUGGUGUACCAGAUGGGACUCCCCAAAUUCCGGUUACAGUAUCAGAAACAUCUUGGCAGGUGUAUUUUCCUGUAUCUGCCCUGAUAUUUAUAACCUUUAAGCAAUUCUCUAUAGAACAACAAAAUGGUUGGUGGAGACUGAAUAUUUGUAUAACAUUUUAGUAAGGAAGCCAUAGGCUAGUGUCACUAAAGUUUGCGGGUGUAGUGUUUAAAAGUUCCUUUUAAGCAAAACGAUGAUCACGAAGACAUUUAUUUAGAGACAUUUUUUUUUUUCCAAAUGAGUUCUAAGAAAUAGGAAAGGCCGAAAGAAACCAGUUGUUUGAGAUGAUUUCUGGGCCACUGACAAAGGCUUUUAUUCUUUGAAGAAUAGACAGAGAAUGGUCACUUGUGUAAUCCAGAUAUAGCACCUUAUAUACAUGAAACAGAGUUAAAUAUAGAGGAUGAUGGGUUAAAAAUUAGACCGCUUCUAAAGAGCAACAAUGUACAGCACAGCUUCUUCAAGGUUAACAUACCCUUUGACAAGAAUUUAAAAUUCAUUUGAGGGAAGAAAAAACGUUCACACCAUCAACUUACACACUUUUAUCACUCCCAUCAUGGCUGUCACCUCCACAACUCUACCAAGAUCAUCGCCGCUUCAAGAACAACCAUCAUUGCCAUUACUACCACCACCAUCUCCACCAAGACCACACUGCCACUUCAAGAACAACCAUCAUUACCAUUACUACCACCACCACCAUCUCCACCAAGACCACCUCCUACCACCACUGUCAGCUACACCUUUCCUAAAACCACUCCCAUUACCAUUACUACCACCUGUGCCAUCACUACCACCACCACCACUUCCACCACCGUCACUGCCACUUCCACCAUUCUGAGUGCUCCUUGCACUGCAGAUGCCAAUGGAGACAGCAUUCCAUCAUGAGUUCACACAGGAGGAAGGAGAAAGGAGACCCCACUAUUCAACAUGGUGUCUGUUGGGGGAAGAACAGGGAAGAUGCUACAUCUUAGCAGUUGUAAGUAUACAUCCUGGGGUAGGUUUUGAGCCUCAAAGGUGAGAAGCCCCAGGAGACCUCAUGUAGAUAAGGGAAACCCAAAGCCUGGCCCUGCAUCAUCAGCAUCACCUACAAACAGAUGCUCAACGUACAGCCUCAACCUUGACUCAUCUGCCCCACCUCAGGGCCUGGGUAAUGCUACUGGAUCUCACUUGGUCCACAUACUGCACAGCUCCCACACAACAAGACAGCCAUUGGUCACCCUGAGCAGGGUAUCCUGUGAGCUACAUGGGAGAUACAGCUGGGAAGACUUGCUGAAGACAUGCUGUGGGGCUGUGAGGCUUGAUCCCAGUUUCUCCAUUGUUAAUGCUGUGAACUCUGUCCCCCAGGGCCUCCGACUCCAUUUGCAAUAGGGCCCAGGCUGGUAGAAAUUCAACAGGGUUCUGAAUGAGAGCAGUAAACUGCUCUAGCACAUCGGAAGCCCCUCACAUGCACAGUGAGCACUCAGCGCAUCGCUGCCAGCACCUGACUACAGAGCACAUUCAGGAGCACUGGGCACUUGGCCAGUGCUGAUGUGCUGCACACAGAGAUGGGAGUAAGUAUGGCGGGUAAGGGUCUGGUGUGAUGCGAGAGGACACCAGGAUGAGAACUGCUCAGUGUUUCCAUUUUCCCUCGUCUACAAACAAUUCUGAUACUUGGGACUUCAAAGGAAAUGAAGAAACCUAGGAAAAUAUUUCUUCCAUGUCAAUUUUAAAUCCCACCAACCUUCUCUCUCUAUAAUUACAGCUGUCAGUGUUGGCAUCAAGGGAAAAUGGUGUCCUUGGCUUUAAAAUGUGGCCAUUAGGGACUCAGUUAAAAAUAAAUUCUCUUCCUGAGAUGGAGGACCAGAAAAUGUGCUUUUGCUCCAACCUGAUAAAAAUGUCACCGUGUGACACCUUUCUUGAAAAGCCUAGGAUAGAUACCAUGGAGGACUUCUUCAGAUGUCCCCUUUUCAGUGGACCAGGUCCACAGGGCAAUCCUGUCAGGGUGAGCACAGCCGAGCGUGGCAGGGCGUCUACUGAGGAUCUCAGGCAGAAGCACUGUGGCCAGUGCUGCCGCUGUUUUAAGCAGAGAGACAGGGUCAGAAUCACAGUGAAGGCGUGACAUCUGCCUGGCAAGCUCACCAGUCUACAAACAACCCCGGCAUUAGGUAUGUAUAAAGUCCUGUACAAACAUUUCCCAAACUCUUCCAUUUUGCAAUUGAGGGAUCAGCAGUGUGCAGUGCAGACACCCCACCCAUCUUUGGGGUAUCCAGUCUGAGAGCCAAGUCAUACACCCCAGGGGACUCACUGCUGCUCUUUCUAAACAAGAAGUUUUUGAGACAGAUCAGAGGGACCCAUUUCACCCUGAGGCAUAGGGACAGGAAUUAAGCAGGCUGGGCAAUGCCAGAUGCUAUACGUGCAGUUAAAUAUCUUUGGCAAGGAAAGUCACAACACGAUGGAAAUGCCUUCAUGAGACUCGGGAGAUUAAGAGAAUUUUGAGUUUAGUGUUUUAACUUUUACUAAGGCUUUCUUGUAAACACUCUUAAUUUUUUUUUUUUUUCUGUGAAUAAUCCAAACCCUCAGAAUGAACCAUCUUAACAGGCUCUUCUGUUACCAUGGCAGCCUUGGAUGGCGAGCUGCCAGCUGGUCAAGUGCCCCUGUGGCAGCCUGGAUGUUUGAGAAAUCUCUCCAUCUGAGGACACCCCAGCAUCUACAGAGGGCUGUUACAGCCACAGUGGAAGGCACACUCCCAUUAUGACCAUUAGCCUUUACGAUCAUGACUGUUUGCCCCCUGUUAUUCUCAUGUAUGCCAGAGGGGGCGCACUUCCCCGGUGGCCCAGAAAGUGGCCUUGGUCAUACCUACUCCUUGGCUACAUAACCAGGCUAUUCAGUUCACAGUCCUUGUCCUGAGAGGCAGCCUCUUGCCCUGAAAUACUAAGCCCCUUAAACAGCUUCUCCCAAAUGGUCUUUCCUUGUACUGGCAGGUAACAGGGACAUUAGGGCCACGAAGUAACAGGACAACAGCCUGUGACCACGUAUGAUGCUAAUCCUCUGUCAGCCUGCCUGGAUUUGGAGUCACGCAGGAGACAUAGGCCUGGGUGAGUGUGUGAGGGCAUUUCCAAGGAGAAAUCCUGCUGCAAAGAAGAGCCGGACUGAGUGCAGGCAACGUCAUCCUACGGGUAGACACUCUACACAGAAUACAAAGGAGAAGAGGAAGAGGAGAGCUGAGGGCCAGCCUCUGUCUCUGCUUGCUGACUGUGGAUACGAUGUGACUGGCUGACCCGCACUCCUGCCAUGAUGGACCUCAUCCUGGGACUAUGACCAAACUCAGCAACCCUUCCUUUCCCUUAGGUUCCUCUGUGGGCGUUCCGUCACAGUCAUAAUAAAAGUAACUAAUACCCUGCAG